GUAACGGUGAUGUCGCGCUUUGUUUCGUUGCCUUAACCACGUUUUAACACCCUCCAAUUUCGUGGCGUGCGCUUACCAAGCAUAUUGUGUCUCUGUGUCGCUCGUGACGCGUGGUACAGUUACCAAAAAGACUCCUAAAAGUGAAAUAGCCACUGAAAAGAAGCAUUGCAGCCGUGGAGCAUCGAUAUGUUUGGCACGCUGCGAGGCCGUUGCAAGGAGCCGCAUUGCCGAUGGUCAAUGGUAAAUGUUCUUCGCUUACGCGAGAGUGGUGAGCAUCGCUGAUGUUGUGGCUGCUGUAACGAAUACUGAAGACAGCAAUAAAUCUGACCCAGGUGAAGAAGGGAAACUGUGCUCAAAUGCUCCCGAGCUUGUCUUUGAGAACGAAGGCCGUGUUCGGGCUGCAGUGACACAACCAGCUGAAGUGGCCACAACAGGCCAGACAGUCACCCAGGAAAGCGAUUUGGGAUCUUGGCGACGGACGCGAGUGGAUGACGGCGCCUGCGGCGGACAUCAAAACGAGCAGAAGAGAGCACCC